rnacentral:lncRNA from 10 species
CAGGGUCUCACACUGUCACCCAGGCUGGACUGGAGUGCAGGGAAGGAAUCACAGAUCACUAUUUCCUCAACUUCCUGGUUUCAGGUGAUCCUCCCACCUCAGCAUCCCGAGUAGCUGGGAUUAUAGGCACACACCACUAUGCCCAGAUUCUCCCACCAUGGCAUGCAGUGGCCUCCAGGGGAUGGAAGAGAGGUAGCAGCAGCCAUUCAAGACUGUCUUUUCUACCAACUUCAGUGCCUUUUUCUGUAACAUGAAACUAAAACCAAGUACUGUGAUUGCUUGCCUAAUUUUUGCUUCUCAUGAAGGUGCUUUUUUGUAUGGAUAGUUGUUCAAUUUGGUGUUCCUGUGGGGAGGAAAAUAGUGAAGAUUUCUAUUCGGCCAUUUUGCUCUGCCACCUCUGUGUGAUUCUUUUUGUAAUCAACUAUCACAGAACACCUCUUGGGCAGAAUAUUUACAUCCCUCCUAUCUGCCAAAUCCACAUACACCCUCAAAAGCACCAAAUUCUCAUUGUAUCAUAUCAUCACACUCAGAAUCUAUAUAGAUCUUAUAAUCUAUAUUAGGUCUGGAUGUUGAUACUUGGCUGCAGUUUGUUUUAAUCUGAAAAACUAUGAAGAAAAAAAAGAAAAGUUAUCUGUUUCCCCUUUCCAAAUGCCUAGCAUGUAAUGAUGGCACACAGAUUAACAGCUAUGGACCCUCCCAUUUGAAAAGAGGAGGAAUGGGAGGCACAUAGCAAUCUCUGACAAUUCUGAAUUCAGGUUUGCUAGACUUGCUAUUGAGAUUGUUUAUAUUCCUUAAUUAGGUAGGUUCUAGCUCUGCAACUUGAGAAUAUAUCUCUAGUCCGCUGUUCUCCAUUUUGACUUGGUUUUAUAAAAUGUUCUUUCUUUUCUAUUGUUCUAUUUGGCCACUUUAAAAAAAAUAUGUUUUUAAAGAAACAGCGUCUCACUCUGUCAACCAGGCCAGAAUACAGUGGUGCAAUCAUAGCUCCCCGCAACCUGGAAUUCUUGAGCUCUAGUCCUAUCUCAUCCUCCCAAAUAGCUGGGACUAGGUGCACAACACCAUGCCUGACUCUAUUUGGACUUUUCUGAAACGAGAAUAGUAUGCAUGUCUUUUGAACUACUUCUGUCUUCUUAGUCUAAUUCAUGCUAUUUCAAGGUGAGAUCACAAUGGCCUUUUUGCAUUUAAAACAAUCUCAGUUACUUUUAGGCCAUGCUGCUGGUACAUUUACUGAUUAUAAUAGUUUAUUUAACAAAAUUGCCAGGACUAACACACAUUAUUCUUAUUCAAGGCAGGUCUUUAUACUCAAGCAAUCCAGUGCUACUAUGGACAUGUCAGUCUACUGUAAGACAAAACCACAAUGAUUCCUAGAAUCCCUUUUUUCCACUUGAAAAUAUGCCCUAUAAAGUGCCUUCAUUUUUUCAGUGGCCUUUCAAAGUGUGUCACAGCAGACAAUGUGAUUGGAUCUUUACCCUGAUGACAUACUUUGGCAAUCUUUUUAUGGCUUAAGAAUCUAGGUAUAUUACAUAGUUUUAUUUUCUAACUGUCAAGCUCUGUCCCCUUUUUAUUUCCUCCACUUUUUGCUUGUCAAUGCUGGGCCAGAUAGCUUUUCAUCUCAGCUCUUUCUUGUAGUACCUUAAGUGCAACAAAGAAGUACCACUGACACAUUCAUCAUUCUUCCUGGAAAUCUCAUAACUUGAGGUGUGGGUAUAGUGUAGUCCAAUUUAACAAUUAUUUCUUUCAUGGACUGAAUUGUAAAUCAUGUUUACAUGGGCCUUUUCCAAACUCAGCUUAUUAGGAAAUGUCCCUAUGUCUUCUAGUACGUUUAUGGCUUUAUUUUUUGCUUUUAAAUAUUUGAUCAACUUGGCACCUUUUUAGUGUAUAGUAUGAGGAGUCUCCUUCUCUUUCUUCGUUCCUCCUCUUUCUCCUCCUCGUCCUCAUCCUCCUCUUCCUGCUCCUCUUCUUCUUCCUCCUUCUCCUGCCCUUCCUGCUCCUGUUCCUCCUCCUCCUUCUAGGUGGCUGCAGUUGUCAGAACAUCAUUUCUUAGUUUACAUUUUCUCCCUGAUUUGAGAUGGCUCCAGAACAACUAAAAGCACAUACUCUUGCAAACUAUUUUGGGACUUUCUCUUCUGUUCUAUUCAUCUCUCUUUCUAGGUAUGCUCUAUAACACAUUGCUUUAAUGUUGAUGCUUUAUAAUAUGUUUAGUAUCUGGUAGGCCUAGUUUCCACUCUUGGCACUUCUUCAUUAGAGUUUCCUCCUUUAUGUUUGUAUGCUUAUUAUUUUGUGUGAUUUUAUAUUAAAAAACUCCCCUAGUUUAUAAAAAUGAUAUUUUGUAGAUGAAUUCAUUUGUAGACAAUUGAAAUCAUUAUAACAUCAAAUAACACAAUAUAGUUUUGCAUUUGUAAGAGCAUCAUUUGUUCCCACGAGAGGUUUUUUAAAUUAUUCUUUAUAUAUAUAUUAGGUAUUUCCUGUUUAAUAUAAUUGCCAGGUAUAUUUAACUUUUGUUUUUACCAUAGAUUAUUUUGCAUAGUUAGACAUUCCAAAUUAUAAUUUACUAUAUAAUGAACACUAAUUAUUUCUGUUUAUAAGUUUGGUUGCUUGAAAUAUUACUGAUUUAUCUUAUUGUUUGGGUUUGAUUUUAGUUUCUUCCAGCGUGUUUUAUAGAUACGUCAUCUUAUUGUCUGCAAACAUAGAUAAUCCUAUUUUCUUUUUUUAUUCUGCCUGCUGUACCCCAUACAAACAAUUUACUUACCUUUUCUAGUUGUUUUUAUUUGAACUCAGGUACAAAGUUUAACCUCUUAAAAGGGGAACUGAGAUUGUGAUAGAUCUUUUUUAUUAUCUUAAGAAAAUAUCUAUUUUAUAUUUUCUUAAAUUUUCAUUUUCAAAAUAUCUGUUCGAUUUAGUCAAAUAAUUUUUAUUACAUAAAAAUUCUAUAAUAUUUUUUCUAGAAAUAUUGGUUCAAUAAAUUAUAUAAAUCAAUUUAAUAAUGUUGAAACAUUCUUGAAUUCCUAGAAUAAAUCCAACUCAGUCAUGUUGCAUUUAUUUCUUUAAACAAGUUGUUAAAAUAUGUUUAUUUAUGAUGUUUAGAUCAAUGUGCAUAAACAAUAUUGUGAUUUUAUUUUAUGUAAAAUUAUUGUCACCUCUUGGUAUUAAUAUAUACUCAAUAGAUAAUAUAAAUUUGAAAACUGUUUUUUAUGCACUUUGGAGAUAUUUACAUAGCAUUGCAAUUAUCUGCUUUUUAGCAAUUUGCUGAAGUUACCCCUAAAAAACUCAGAGGCCUCCUAAGGCUUUGAUUCAAUUUGUUUCAUUCACUUUCAUUGUUAUUUCAUUGUUUGGGAGCAAUAUUCCCAUGGAUAUCAUUAUACACAGAUUUUAUCUUCUUCUGGGGUCAGUUUGAAUAUUUUUCUGAAAAUUUCUUAAACAGGUUUGCACAAUUACUUGCAUAUUUUAAAGCAAGUCUAUUUUAUUUAAUUCUUAUAAUUUUCCAUUUACAUGACAAUUUCUCUAUUAUUUUAUAUUUCAUAUGUAUAUCCGUAUUUUUUUCUCUUUUUUCUUUGAUUAGGUUAGGUAGAGAUUCUGCUGGUUGGUUAACAUUUUUCAAAUAACUAUUUUUGACAUUUGUAUGUGAAUUAAAAUAUUCUGCAUUUCAACUCAUUGGUUUGUGUUUAGAAUGUUUGUAUGUCUGCAAUUUCUGCUUUACUAAUGUUGCUGUUGUAUUAUCCUGCGCAAAGAUAUGCAAAACUUUUAUCUUCAAUGUAAAUUGUGUACUUCACUCUCAGCAAGUGUUAUUUUAUCAGAUGCAGUAGUUUUUGAUAUUAAGGUCACAAUCCUGCUUUUUGUUUUCAUUUGCAAGGAGCACAUUUUCCCAUCAUAUUAAUUCUCAGCUUUAUGAAUCACUUUUUACAUACAUCCCUUUUAUAAAGCAUAGAUCCAAAGUAAAGAUAUUUUUAAAAGAUGAGUUAACUCUGUUAACGUUUAUUCAUAACACAUUACUGUUAUAAGGUUUUGUCAUAAUUUUGUUAUAUUUUUUGUUAACCUGUUUUUAAUAACUCACUAUACAAUUUGUUUUCUUUGUUCCUGUGGGUAGUUCUGAUAUUAACAAAACAUUUGCAUUUUUAUUCUACUAACUUUUUUAAUUAAAAUUUUACAUAUCACUCUUUUUAAAAGACAUUUUCUAUUAGUUUCUUAUUGUUAAUAAACUAAAAAUUAGCAAAACUUUAUCCUUCUUGUCUACUUUCUAAAUUUUCAUUUGAUAAUAUUACCAUUCUUACUGUCCCUUUUUAUAGCUUCCUCUUAAAUUGUGUAGUCUGCAUGAGUUCUUUUUUGGCCUUGCCUUCCACAUCACUCUGAAUCUUAAUAUUUAAUACAGAAUUGUGCUCAUCAGUGUUACUGAAAUUACUGAACUUUUGCAUCAUUAUGUGUAGCACAAUUGCUCCAGCAAGAAGAAUAAUUUUGCCUUUCAGUGUGAGCCCCUCACCUUCAAAAAGGAUACCUUUGCUGAUACUUUCUGGUAUCUGAUGCCUUUCACUGCCUCACUGCAUUUAUUUGAUUAAAUGUCUUCUCUCAUUCAAAAUGGAGUUUGUGUGGGUGAUUCCAGAAUGAGACAUGGAGCAUGAUUCUUGCCAGAAGUGCUACAUAAUUCUUGAAAGUAGACAUCAGAAGUACUUUUAUCCAAUUUUAAUUGUGAAGGAAAAAUAAUGAAGGAUAUAUAUAUAUAUACACACACACACACAUAUGUAUAUAUGUCAGAAUAUAUCUGUUAAUAUCAAACUAUCCAUAAGAACAAAAAAACAAAUUUUGUGUGUGUUUAUGUGUGUGUAUAUGUAUAUAUAUACCUGGGUGGCAGUUAUGCAGCUACCACACUAGAGGGCUAGAACUCAAAAGCAAUACCUUUUUUUCCAUAAUCAGAGAGGUUGUCCUGAAAGAUGCUCUGAUUAAAUAAGAUUAUCUCUCAGCUAUCCCGUAUACUUAUGUUCUAUUAAUAUUAAUCAUGUUAUGUACCAAAGUGGGUUUAUUUGCCCACACAACAAAAAGCCAAACACCAAAGCACUGGGUGUUUGUAGAGAGAAAGUUUUAUUGUAAGUCAAUUGGCAAAGGAGACAUGUAGCAGUGCUCAAAUUGGUCUCCUUGGGCUGGUAGAUGGGGCUGAUUUUAUAGGCAGAGGGGAUAAGAGGCAUGAUCUGAUUGGAUCUUGCAAUGAAAUGAUGCUAGGAGGUGUGAUACCAGGGCUCUAUCUGAUUGGAUUAUGGGUCCAUGGAUCAUGCCAUGAGGGGCUUACUUUUUAGUUCAGUCCCCAUUCCUUGGUCUAAGCAUUUAGGUUUUGCCCAUAGUUGCACACUUGGUUCAUCUGGGCAUGCUCUUGUUAUGUAAUUGCAACUUGGGUUCUAUGGCAACUGGAAAACAAUUCAAUUUUUUAUUACACAAAGUUAAGCUAGAUUGAGCUGGUCCUGUCAUUACAAUAAAAAAUAAGUAUUGGUAAGGACAAACCAUUGCCAAAAAUGUGAUACUUAGACAUGUUUGUUUUUUAACUUUUCAAUACUAAUUAAGGUUUUAUUUAUUGAGUUUAUUUGUCUAAAACAUGGGUAAAUCUCUAGUUUAUCCCCUUCUUCUUUGGUUUGGAGAAAUCCAAAGCUCUGCUUAGUUAGUCACAUGUAUUUGAUUGAUGACAUUCUAUAAUACAUAUUAAUAAUAUUGUGUUGGCUGGGCGCGGUGGCUCAUGGCUGUAAUCCCAGCACUUUGGGAGGCCAAGGUGGGCGGAUCACCUUAGGUUGGGAGUUCGAGACCAGCAUGACCAGCAUGGAGAAACCCCGUCUCUACUAAAAAUACAAAAUUAGCCGGGCUUGGUGGCACAUGUGUGUAAUCCCAAUACCUGGGGGGCUGAGGCAGGAGAAUUGCUUGAAUGGGGGAGGCAGAGGUUGAAGUCAGCUAAGAUCGCACCAUCGCACUCCAGUCUGGGCAAUAAGAGUGAAACGCUGUCUCAAAAAGAAAAAAAAAAUUGUGUUAACGGUGCCUCACAGUGUCUAUGGACUAUUCAAUUAUUCUCUCCAUUUUGAGCAACUAUGAUUGUGCUUCCAGUGAUUUGCUGAAAGAAAUUGGACAAAAAAGGAAACAGUCAUGCUAAAAAAUGAGUUUCAGUUUUGUGUUUAGUACAGUGGUAUUAAUACUUUAAUUAGUGCUAGGUAGUGUGAUAACCUGACGAUUGGGUUAGGAAAACAGAUAUCGAAUGAAGACUCAAAAAAAUGUAGAACCCAAGCAGGAUGCAUAAAGAGAAAUAAGAUUUUGUGCUUUGAAAAUUUUAUUUUGCAACUUCACAGCUGAUAAAUGAUAAUCUGUUUAGAGGAAAAACUCUAAAAACAAACAGGCCAAGAAUGGGCAAAUUCUAUGCUUACAUGCCAUAUGUCUUCUCCAUGUGUUUCUGUGUUUCAACAUAACAGAACAGAAAAAGAAUAAAAACUAUAAACAUUUUUGACUUUCUCAAAAAGUUUUCCCCUGAGAAUGAAAUGACAAAUAUGACAGAUUAUUUGAAGACUGUGGGAUAGAACCAUUUACAUUCUACUUUGAAUCACUGAACAGACUACAUUAAGACACCUGAGAACGUAUAGAACAAUCCUAGGAUAAAAUAAAUAAGGGAUUGGAUUUGAGUAGCAUUAUAUAAAAGUAAAAUAAAAAAUAUUCUUCUUUCUGCAGGUUGAGUAAUGAUUUGGGGAGUCAUAAUUUCACAUAAAUAAUUUGUGUCUAAAAUUCAUAUACUGUCCAUUAUCCUAAGUUGCAGAUCACUGAUUUAAAAUUAGAAUGUGACAUUUUAAAUAACAUCCCAAAGAUGUUAUAGUAAGUAAACUAAUAUGUCUUUAUUAGUCCUUGAGAAUCAAUUUCAAAAGCCUUUAGAUUCUGAUGAAAAUUAUGCAAAUUCCAGCAUACUGUCAUCCUUAUAGUUUAUGUUAAUUUGACAUUAAUGUUAGCUGCCUAUCACACCAACAAUAAUCUAUCUGAACUAGCAGGCUGGAAUACCAAUUACUGAAAUGAGUGGAGCUCAUCCUUGAAGUUUCUUCUUUCUGUUGCAAGUAGACAUAUGUCAGCACACAGGGAAUAGCACAGAUGUAUCAAAGUCUUUCAAGUAACCAGACAUCUUUCUGUAAUGGAGAAGGCUGUGGUUGACAUACUAAAUCUUAAAAAGAAAGAGAAGUCACUUUGUAUUGAGAAUAAAAAGAGCCGAAAGAGAAAAAAUGAUGUGAAGAUAUUCUUACAUAUUUAGAGUCAUUAUUAGAGAAUGUUGGCCAAGUAGAAUCUCUAGUUUUGAAAUCUUUAUUUUACAAUGAAUUACUAUGUAUCUUUUUCAAUUUUCUUGUCAAGAAUUCAUGAUAUUAAUUGAUUUUUUCAAAUGAGGGCUUUCUUUUCCUCCCUUUUGAUUCUGGCUGCUGACGUGAAUUACCUCAAUUUGACUUACAAUGAAAGUAAAAAUUUUAAAAAAAGAAAAUGACUUUUGCCAUUCAAGGCACAUUGUUAUUUGUCUUCAAAGAAGGAGUAUGCUGGAAUCUAUGAAUUUUUGUGCAUGUAUUUUCUUAUAGUGAUGGUAUUUUUUUAUGUUAGACUUAAGUUGAAUAACGGGAAAGUCCCUGAAUAAUUCCCUCGAGUUUUCUCCCUUCUUGUACUGUGGGAAAUAUCAUUACAAAUGAUUCCAAGAAUAUAUGCCAAAUACUUAUCUUUUUGUAAUUAUUUUAAUACUCAUAAUGUGAUAGUUAAAAGGUUACUUAAACAAAAUAUCCAUUUGAUGUAGUUACACAUUAUGUUGCACCAUUAGCUAAGUUUUUAUGUGCAUGUUUAUUUUCAUUUGCUUUGUUUUUCCAAAUAGUCUAUAAAGGUCUUAAGAUUUAAGAAAAGGUCUAAUUCCUUUUGUUCUCUUCACAGUGCUGGAGAAAAUAAAAAUUCAAGAUUUUCUAUACUAACUGUGACACAAUUAUAUAUGUUAGCAAGAAACAAUUAUUAUAACUCACCUGACUCAUUAACCCAGAAAGUACAGUAACACAUUGACAAAUGUUAUCAUGAAUGUAUAUAGUGAGUGAAUAUUUAGGACAGACAUAAAAAGAUUAAAAUGACAGAUUAGGGGAGACCGUUCAAGUAUUUGGAAUGAAGAAUUGAUCUUGUUAUAAUUAAAGAUUAACAAGAAGCUACCCAUUAGGAAAAUAUGUACCAAGAUGGUACAAAGACUCCAAGGGUAAGGAAUAUUCUUGACACCACAGUCAUUUUUCUCCCUAGGAUUGAGUUGUAUGAAGGUUCACAGUGAUUGCACAAGUGUUAAUUUAAAAUCUAUUUGUAAUAUAUUUGGAUAUAGAGAAUCAAGAGAGUCAUAAAGCAAACAUCCGUAUAACUUUCAUCUAGCAAAACAACUAUUUACAUUUGCCACAUUGCUUAAAAUACAUUUUACUGAAGUAUUUUAACAUAAUUGCAGACAUAAUGAUAAUUCAUCUCUAAGUAUUUUAGUAUGCAUCACUAAAACUAAGGACAUUUUUCUAUAUAGCAACAAUGCCAUUUGCUCAGCUAGCAAGACAAGUAAUAAUUCUUAAGAUUAUCUAAUACCUUACCCAUACCCAAAUUUCAGAAUGAAGAGUUUAGGGUCAUUGCAUUUCAGUGUAUAAUAUGAAAAGCUGUGUCCAACCAUUUUUCUCCACUUAUAAAGAAAGCAAGCCAGCCAGGCACGGUGGCUCAUGCCUGCAAUCCUGGCAUUUUGGGAGGCCGAGGUGGGAAGAUCACUUGAGGCCAGGAGUUCAAGACCAGCAUGGCCAACAUAGCAAUGGGUAUCUCUACUAAAUCUCUACUAAAAAUAAGAAAUUUAGCUGGGCAUGGUCGUGCACAACUGUGAUCUCAGCUAAUCGGGAAGCUAAGGUAUAAGAAUCGCUUGAAUCUGGGAGGCAGAGGUUGCAGUGAGCCGAGAUCACACCGCUGCACUCCAACCUGAGUGACAGAGCAAGAUUCUGUCUCAAAAAAAGGAAAGAAAGAAUGAAAGUGAGAAAGAAAGAAAGAACAAAAGAAAGAAAGAAAGAAGGAAAGAAAGAAGGAAAGAAAGAAAGAAAAAGAAAGAAAGGAAGGAAGAAAGAAAGAAAGAAAAGAAAUGAAGUCUGUGUUUUCGAUGGAUGGCUCUGAAAUGCUCCCUCAAAGCCGUGAUUUGCCACAAGAAAUUGGAUACGUCCAACACUGAAAGUGCUUGGAAGUGGAGUCUUCUUCAGAUGCUUCAAGCAAGAGCCCAGUCCAUUUGACUUUGAUUUUGGUCUUGUGAGACCCUCCACAGAGAAUCCAGUUAAGCCUGCCUGUACUUCUGACCUGUGGAACUGAGAGAUAAGAAGUGGGUUGUUUUAAGUCACUAAGUUCAUGGUGAUUUGUUUUACAGCAAAAGAAGAGUAAUACACAUUGAAACACACCCAUUUGUCCAUCUCUUCGUGUUGUUAGAGGCUAAUGGCUUCAAGCAGAGCCCUCUAUCGAAAUUACCUUUGCCCACGGAGACCUGGCUUGACUAUGGUAAUGCCCUUUCCUGCAGGGUUACCCCCAUGCAGCAUUUGGUUGAUGGAAGGUACAAAAGUGCAGUCCCUUGUCUCAUGUAAGAUACUCUGAAGGGCCAUCUUAGAUUCAACGCUCCCUGUGAAUUGAUCUGAGAUGUCUAUUACAGUGCAUCACAAAUCAACUUCUAUUUCUCUCCAACCUUCCCCUCUCCCCACUUUGUGGUUGUUUGCAAGGACAGGCUCCAUAAACUACUUCUACCCUAAAACUCCUUGUCAGGAUCUGUUUCCAAAGGAUAUAGCCUAUGACAUCUUAUAUUCAGUAGAAUGAGAGAGAUGAAAAUUAUAACAAUGUUUUAAUUUAUUUAAUCUAGUGUCAAGUCUAUGAUAGACACACACACACACACUUUUUAUAAACUCUGAGACAAAUGAAUGGUGUUUCUAAAUGUUGUGAUUGUUUCAGAGAAAGUUAAUAACAUCUGUAUCAUGUUUAGUCUUCCUCUUUUUGGGAUAGAAGUCGUAUAUGUUAACAUAACACAUGGUCAUCUAGCUAUUGUUUACAUUUCUCUGCCUUCCAUGUAACUGGAUUCAGCCAUGUGUCUAUCUUGUCAACAAAGGAAUAUAAACAGAAUUGAUAUAGGUUAUCAACAUGUUACAUGCUUGAAGGAAAAUUGCUCAUUCUCCAUUUCCUCUCCUUACCCCUUACAUUACCAGGAAAUGCUAAUAAAUGCAACAAAUUCAGAAGUUAUAUAUAAAGGACAGCAGCACCACUCUGCCACUUGAAGCACUCAAUAGAGCCUGUUAUUUGAGAGAAUAAUACAUUUUUCGUCAUAUAAAUCCACUGUAUUUUGGGGGUCUCUAUUGACAGAAACUUUACCUGUACUUCUUCUUACAGUGCUAAAGGUAGGACUUUUUGAAGAAAAAGUUUUUGCCCUCUAUUCUUUAAUAUGUCUUAAUCAAUGAAAUUAUGCCAAGUAUGUAAUUUAAAUAGAUAUGACUCCUAUUCUGAACAAAUGGCCUGAAAAUACAACAAAUUUGCUAAGUCAAUUAUUUCUACUUGUCCAUAAAGGUCCAAGUAGCACUCUGUAAAUCAAACAUGUACAAGAAUCGAGGACUCUACUAGACAAAAUAUGUACUAACAUGGACAUUUAGGCAUAUCUACAGCUUCCAUCAUGUUUUGAUAAUGUGAAUGUAUAUUGGACUGCUGCUGUCCAUGUUCACUGGUUACAUUAAGACUGUGGGGGUAAUAAUUGUGGAGGGAAGGUCUAUCUUAAAAUAUGUAUGGAAGAUGGAGCUCUAAUGAUAUGGAGAACAGAUAAAGCAUUUGCAGGUUUGACUUAACACCAAGAAAGAGUGUAAGAAGCUUUAGAAGGUGAUAGAGCAAAGACAGUUUUAUGCAAUAAUAGAACAUUUUGUAAAACACAUAGUUGCUACAUUUUACCUAUAUGUUUUUCAUAAUAAAAUCUUU